rnacentral:rRNA from 1 species
UACGUAGGUGGCAAGCGUUGUCCGGAAUUACUGGGCGUAAAGGGCGCGUAGGCGGUCUUGCAAGUCCCGUGUGAAAUCCCUCGGCUCAACCGAGGAACUGCCGGGCAUACUGGCGAUCUUGAGGCAUUCAGGGGCGAGCGGAACAAGUGGUGGAGCGGUGAAAUGCGUAGAUAUCACUUGGAACGCCAAUGGUGAAAACAGCUCGCUGGGAAUGAUCUGACACUGAGACGCGAAAGCCAGGGGAGCGAACGGG